GUGUCAUCAGCCGCGGUAAGACGAACCGAGCGAACGUUGUUCGGAAUCACUGGGCAUAAAGGGUGCGUAGGCGGGCCACCAAGUCUGCGGUGAAAUUCUCCGGCUCAACCGGAGUAGUGCCGCGGAUACUGGGGGCCUCGAGGGGGGUAGGGGCAUGCGGAACUCUGGGUGGAGCGGUGAAAUGCGUUGAGAUCCAGAGGAACUCCGGUGGCGAAGGCGGCAUGCUGGACCCUUUCUGACGCUGAGGCACGAAAGCCAGGGGAGCGAACGGGAUUAGAUACCCCAGUAGUCC
rnacentral:rRNA from 1 species